UAUCCAGCUCUCGCUCUCACUCUCUUGCUCUCACUCCCUUGCUCACUCACUCACUCACUUUCUUUUAAUCUUAGAGAGAAUGAGGGUGUGUGUAUAACUAUGUCGAGCUCUACCUGCCAUGACCAGCACGUGGUCCAUUGGCAGUUUGCCUUUGGAGUGUAUCAUCCUCUUAUUUUUUUUCUCAAAAGGCUGGAAAAAGAGGAAUUGAAAAGAAAGGCAGAAGAGGAAAGGCUGCGCAUAGAAAAACAAGAAGAAGAAAAGAAGCAGCAGGAGGAAGAAGAGAAAAGAAAGGCAGAAGAGAAGGCAAAAGAGAAGGCUGAGGAGGAGCUGUUGUCAAAAGAGGAGCAAGAAAAGGAAAAACAAGAAAAAGAAA
rnacentral:lncRNA from 1 species